rnacentral:rRNA from 1 species
AGUAGUUUGAUCAGUGGCUCGAGGACGACGCUGGCGGCGCGCCUAACACAUGCAAGUCGAACGGGAUUGUUUACAAUCCAGUGGCGGACGGGUGAGUAAUGCAUGAGUAAUCUGCCUGAAAGAGGGGGAUAGCUUCUGGAAACAGAAGAUAAUACCGCAUAUUUCAAAAUUUCCGCAUGGUUUUUUGGCAAAGGAGCAAUCCACUUUCAGAUGAGCUCAUGUCCGAUUAGCUAGUUGGUAGGGUAAAUGCCUACCAAGGCAACGAUCGGUAGCCGUACUGAGAGGUUCUACGGCCACAUUGGGACUGAGACACGGCCCAGACUCC